UACGUAGGGUGCGAGCGUUGUCCGGAAUUAUUGGGCGUAAAGAGCUCGUAGGCGGUGUGUCACGUCGGCCGUGAAAACCCGGGGCUUAACUCUGGGCGUGCGGUCGAUACGGGCAUCACUAGAGUUCGGCAGGGGAGACUGGAAUUCCUGGUGUAGCGGUGAAAUGCGCAGAUAUCAGGAGGAACACCGGUGGCGAAGGCGGGUCUCUGGGCCGAUACUGACGCUGAGGAGCGAAAGCAUGGGUAGCGAACAGG
rnacentral:rRNA from 1 species